AGAAUCAACGCUGGCGGCGUGCCUAACACAUGCAAGUCGAACGAGAAAGUGGAGCAAUCCAUGAGUAAAGUGGCGCACGGGUGAGUAACACGUGACUAACCUACCCUUGAGUGGGGGAUAACCUCGGGAAACCGGGGCUAAUACCGCAUAAUAUCGAGAGAUCAAAGGAGCAAUUCGCUUAAGGAGGGGGUCGCGGCUGAUUAGCUAGUUGGUAGGGUAAUGGCCUACCAAGGCUAUGAUCAGUAUCCGGCCUGAGAGGGCGCACGGACACACUGGAACUGAAACACGGUCCAGACUCCUACGGGAGGCAGCAGUGGGGAAUUUUGCGCAAUGGGGGAAACCCUGACGCAGCAACGCCGCGUGGAGGAUGAAGUCCCUUGGGACGUAAACUCCUUUCGAUCGGGACGAUAAUGACGGUACCGGAAGAAGAAGCCCGGCUAACUUCGCGCCAGCAGCCGC
rnacentral:rRNA from 1 species